GACAGAAGGUGCAAGCGUUACUCGGAAUUACUGGGCGUAAAGCGUCUGUAGGUGUCUUGUUGCGUCUGACGAUAAAGUGCGGGGCUCAACCCUGCAUCCUCGUUGGAAACGAGCAAGAUCGAGUCAUUCAGAGGCAUCUGGAAUGUCGUGUGUAGGGGUAAAAUCCGUAGAUACACGAUGGAACGCCGAAAGCGAAAGCAGGAUGCUGGGAAUGUACUGACACUCAGAGACGAAAGCGUGGGGAGCAAAGGGG
rnacentral:rRNA from 1 species